CAGCCGCCGCGGGAAUACGUAGGGUGCAAGCGUUAAUCGGAAUUACUGGGCGUAAAGCGUGCGCAGGCGGUUAUAUAAGACAGAUGUGAAAUCCCCGGGCUCAACCUGGGAACUGCAUUUGUGACUGUAUAGCUAGAGUACGGCAGAGGGGGAUGGAAUUCCGCGUGUAGCAGUGAAAUGCGUAGAUAUGCGGAGGAACACCGAUGGCGAAAGCAAUCCCCUGGGCCUGUACUGACGCUCAUGCACGAAAGCGUGGGGAGCAAACAGGAUUAGAUACCCCUGUAGUCCCUGUCUCUUAUAC
rnacentral:rRNA from 1 species